GGGGAAAUAGCUUAGUGGUAAAGCACUUGCCUAGUACACAUGAGGCCCUGGGUUCCAUCCUCAGCACCA
rnacentral:tRNA from 1 species